AACGUAGGAGACAAACGUUAUCCGGAGUUACUGGGCGUAAAGGGCGCGUAGGCGGUCAGCACAAGUCAGUUGUGAAAUCUCCGGGCUUAACUCGGAAAGGUCAACUGAUACUGUGCGACUAGAGUGCGGAAGGGGCAACUGGAAUUCUCGGUGUAGCGGUGAAAUGCGUAGAUAUCGAGAGGAACACCUGCGGCGAAGGCGGGUUGCUGGGCCGACACUGACGCUGAUGCGCGAAAGCCAGGGGAGCGAACGGG
rnacentral:rRNA from 1 species